rnacentral:rRNA from 1 species
GACAGAGGUGCCAAGCGUUAGGCGGAAUCACUGGGCUUAAAGCGUGUGUAGGCGGGUGCCUAAGUACCUUGUGAAAUCCCACGGCUCAACCGUGGAACUGCCGGGCAUACUGGCGAUCUUGAGGCAUUCAGGGGCGAGCGGAACAAAUGGUGGAGCGGUGAAAUGCGUAGAUAUCAUUUGGAACGCCAAUGGUGAAAACAGCUCGCUGGGAAUGAUCUGACGCUGAGACGCGAAAGCCAGGGGAGCGAACGGG